AAGACUAUACUUUCAGGGAUCAUUUCUAUAGUUUCUGACUUGAGAAAUGUGUUUCUAGAGUGUAUGGUCUCGCCAACCACGAUGAUGAGUUGUGAUAUUCUCUUGUGAGUACGAAUCUGAUGGAGAACAUUCUUUACUAUAUAUGUUUUCUGUCAUUGAUGAUUGUUCUUUGCUUUCUUGGGGAGCAAUGAAGAAGGGAAUAUGUUCAGAGUGGUA
ensembl:snoRNA ACEA small nucleolar RNA U3